GACGAGCCACACGAACGUUAUUCGGAAUUACUGGGUGUAAAGGGUUCGUAGGCGGUGUGGCAAGUCGGGAGUGAAAUCCUGGAGCUCAACUCCAGAACUGCCUUUGAUACUGAGGAUCUUGAGUUCGGGAGAGGUGAGUGGAACUGCGAGUGUAGAGGUGAAAUUCGUAGAUAUUCGCAAGAACACCAGUGGCGAAGGCGGCUCACUGGCCCGAUACUGACGCUGAGGCACGAAAGCGUGGGGAGCAAACAGG
rnacentral:rRNA from 1 species